UGGGGAAUAUUGGACAAUGGGCGCAAGCCUGAUCCAGCCAUGCCGCGUGAGUGACGAUGGCCUUAGGGUUGUAAAGCUCUUUUGGCGGGGAAGAUAAUGACGGUACCCGCAGAAUAAGCUCCGGCUAACUUCGUGCCAGCAGCCGCGGUAAUACGAAGGGAGCUAGCGUUGUUCGGAAUCACUGGGCGUAAAGCGCACGUAGGUGGGCAGUUAAGUCAGGGGUAAAAGCCCGAGGCUCAACCUCGGAAUUGCCUCUGAUACUGGCUGUCUAGAGUUCGAGAGAGGUGAGUGGAAUUCCUGGUGUAGAGGUGAAAUUCGUAGAUAUUAGGAAGAACACCGGUGGCGAAGGCGGCUCACUGGCUCGAUACUGACACUGAGGUGCGAAAGCGUGGGGAGCAAACAGGAUUAGAUACCCCCGUAGUCCCUGAGCGGGCUGGCAAGGCGCAU
rnacentral:rRNA from 1 species